CCCAACUGCUGCGCUAGCACCUGCUCAGCCCAGGCACGUUCGUCUUCUACCUCCGUUCGUUGCCUUAGCACGCACGCACGCACUCCUCGUGGCCGGCGGCGGCUUGACUUCCACCAAACCGAGUAUUCCUCUUCGAAUUGAUGCUGUGUAAUUAAUCUGUCGAGAUUCAGGCCAUAAUAGAAGUACCUCACUGCCUGAUUUUUCCUUUUUUUCCACGUCGCCUGCCUUUUAUUUUGCCUGCUCGACUGUUCGUCCGCCGCACCAUCUGUUCCGUCGUCACGCACCAUCCUCUCUCGACCACAAAUGAAGCCACUAAUGCUCAAAAAACAGCAUUCAUCCACCAUUAUUACUUGGCACAGAAACUGCUCGGGUUAACUUAGUCGUGACCUUCUUCAUCGUUUUAACCACUGCCCUUACCACCUGCUCGUCUGCUAUAAUCACCCUUUCUGGUACCGGCCUUCUUCCUGGAUUUGCUUCAUUUCUCUGUGUUGCUCGCUCAAAUUAGGAAAGGCAGCUAUCACAGCGAAGAUUUUGCAUGCUGCAUGCUCGACAGCUCGAUCUGCUUGCAUCGGCAAUCUGCGUGCUUUUACGAAUACGGAUAGCACUGAGAAUUCUUUGAGGGAUCCUAACAUCAUUCAGUCCUACGCAGACACGGACGGCCACGCGGUCAGCCACAACCUAUUCUCACCCUUGAAACCAAUUGUCAGUGCACAAGAUGACUCCAACAAUAAUAGACCUCCCUUCCCCCAACCUACAGCUAUUGACAACAGGGAAAUAAACUCGGCAAGUCUGGAGCAAAACGAAGCCUUCAGUGUAUGGGACAUGGUACGACCAACGGAGGAAGUGUCACUGCUCUUUGCUGUCGAGGGUGGCUCCAUGGAGCUACUGGCUAUAUGUGCUCUUGUGUUCUAUAAGUUUAAGUUGCUCCUGUGUGCCUAAAACUAAAAGGGAUACACGCAACACAAUCAAAUGAAUGUUGGUUAAUUUACUAGCAGUGAUAUUGUUCUCUUAAUAAAUUAUGAAGGUUCUAAAC